rnacentral:rRNA from 1 species
UACGUAGGUGGCAAGCGUUGUCCGGAUUUACUGGGCGUAAAGGGCCAGUAGGCGGCCAACUAAGUCGGAUGUGAAAUCCCCAGGCUUAACCUGGGAACUGCAUCCGAUACUGGAUGGCUUGAAUUCGGGAGAGGGAUGCAGAAUUCCAGGUGUAGCGGUGAAAUGCGUAGAGAUCCGGAGGAACACCGGUGGCGAAGGCGGCAUCCUGGACCGGCAUUGACGCUGAGGCGCGAAAGCCAGGGGAGCAAACGGG